rnacentral:rRNA from 1 species
UGGGGAAUUUUGGACAAUGGGCGAAAGCCUGAUCCAGCAAUGCCGCGUGUGUGAAGAAGGCCUUCGGGUUGUAAAGCACUUUUGUCCGGAAAGAAAUCCUUGGCUCUAAUACAGUCGGGGGAUGACGGUACCGGAAGAAUAAGCACCGGCUAACUACGUGCCAGCAGCCGCGGUAAUACGUAGGGUGCAAGCGUUAAUCGGAAUUACUGGGCGUAAAGCGUGCGCAGGCGGUUUGCUAAGACCGAUGUGAAAUCCCCGGGCUCAACCUGGGAACUGCAUUGGUGACUGGCAGGCUAGAGUAUGGCAGAGGGGGGUAGAAUUCCACGUGUAGCAGUGAAAUGCGUAGAGAUGUGGAGGAAUACCGACGGCGAAGGCAGCCCCCUGGGCCAAUACUGACGCUCAUGCACGAAAGCGUGGGGAGCAAACA